rnacentral:sRNA from 1 species
GUGGUGUUGCGGAGGGAAUUGUGGGGGAGAUCAGAGGUGCAGCUCUGCUGGAGAGACCUGAGGCUUGCAACGCUGGGCCCGGCCGAGUCGCUGCGGCUGGGCUGGAGGUGAGGCGAAAGAAGGGCAUCCUCUGAUGGGAGUGGACCGGAGUCCGCUAAAGCGAAACAUUCCAGGCCAAGGUUAACUAUUUGUAACAUGUCAUCUUUCAAGGAAGCAUCUAACCAAAAUUAAGUCAAAGGCAUCUACCAGGUCCUGAAUUCUCUCCCAGAUGCACACCUUUUAAGGUCAAGGAUGCAUUCCAGGAAAGUUCCAUAAAAAUAUACCAUCAACUCCAACCUGAUAUUUGACCUAGCUGUGGAAAACCUCAUUGGCUCCUCACUAGAUCAGACCAUAAAAAUGAUUCAGGAAUGAAAAUCUAAGAUAAAUUCCCACCACUUCAAGAUGU